GGUUUCUCAGUCCUUGCUCUGGGCCUUCAUUUUGCCAAUGCAAUCUCCUUGAAAAUGAACAAAUUCUUUAAUUGUUUUUUCACCACUGACCCUAUUUUUGUUAUAUCAAGACAAAAAAAAAAAGUCUUUUUUGUGGUUUUGCAGGUCAUCUCAGCCAUGUAUGGUAUUUCAGAUGUAUUUCAGAUACGCACUGUUGAUGUUGCAACAUCCUCAAAAGGCUCCCAAUACUCUCCUCUAAAUUUCCACAAAGGGGCUCAGGAGUCUGGUUUGGCCUGGAAAUGAACCUCACCUUUCAGCAAUGGCAUACUAAACAGGAGACCGGAACUUCUGAGAGGAUGCUGGAGAACCAAAGUGAAUAACACAGAGACAAUCCUCAGCAGCUAGACUGUCUGCUUCUAGUCCUAAUGCAUUUAACUGGAGCGGAGAAUACUCUGAUGGCCCUGAUGAAUAUGUGUUAAGUGCCAUUUUCAGUACAUAACAGCUUUUUAGACAGCUGCUCACCCUUAUUGUCUUGCCUGUUGCAGUUUCCUUUCCACUGUCGAUCCUGAAAAGUUAAAUAUAGCCAUCCGAGAUGCAGCAGUCCUUAAAAGGUACCACUUGUUGGAUGUGGUAUGUUCUUUUAUUCUCAUCAAUUCCUCAUUCUUUUUGAACCUGACGUAUAAUCCCUUAUAAAUGGCUCUCUUUAUGCUGCAAUUUGGAGCUGUUCCACUUGAUAAUUUAUGCUAUCGUCACUAGUUAGCAUGAUCCCUAAUCUCGGUAGCUUUUAUCAAGCUUUUUAUCAGAGGUACUGCUUUGAGUUGUUUGUAUUAAUAAUAGUUAAGAGCACUAGCUAAGAGCAGUGCUGUCUGCUGCCUCUGCCCAGCCUUUCCAGGCAGUGACCUUCUCUCCUGUACAGAGCAAUAGCUAAUGAAAAAGCACCUCCGCCUUUUCUUGUUUUCAGGUUCACACAUCCUUGAACAUAUACUAGUUUAAAGUUUGUUUGACAUCUUAGAUCAGCUGAAGGUUGUAAGUAAUUUAAAGUCAUUCAUCUAAGUCAGCACCUAAAAUGAAAGCAGUAAUGGUUUAUUCCAUAGGGAGUUACUUGUGAGCAGCUAAAAGUGUGUAACAGUCCAUUGCACAGUGCAAAGCCGACCUCGGGAGAAAGUAGAUGAAAACCUAUACAGAGUUUAAAGGGCAUCUGCAAGUAUUCAUUUUACCCCAGACAGUCAGUACAGGGGCCACUUGUCUUUUUAUCAACGGUAUCUGAUAACAUGAAGAAAUUAAUAAUUUACAGAGGGCAGGCAGUACUUUUCCAUUACAAGCUGUGUGCAAAGGAAGAAAGAACUGCUGGCACACGCCAGAGUGCUCCCUGCAAGGUCGUUCUGCCUCAGUGCUGCAAAUGUGUUUCUUUUUAACCCCUUCAUAAGAGUGAGAAAAUACAGCUCCACAGAACAUGUAUAUUGAACACUUAUUAAGUGCAGAAAAGAACCCACAACCAUUUAGGACUCCAGUCUUGGAAGCCAUGGAAAUCAACAUCUAGCAAUUCUUUGGAUGGGAGAUCUCAUGGAACCCUGGAUGCUUUGAGACAAGCCAAUGGCUCCAUUCAGUCCAACGGAGCUAGCAAUCCAAAACUUGACAGGUUAUUCAGUGAGUAAAAAAAUGUGAGACACCCAAAGUCUCCACCCUUCAUCCACCAGUCUUACCCUCCAGUUUCAUCCUUCCAUGUCUCCUGUAGUAUGCCCUUGAGUAAGGAACAUCAGUACAGUCGCUGCCAGUUCAAUGAUGCACACAAUGUUCAUUUGACUGCUGCCAAAAUGGAUGCACCAUAGCAACCUCCAAUCAUCCUUUUUCUCUAUCCCUCAGCUCAGAUACUGCCCUCUGUGUAACAUCUGGGGUUGCAGCUAGCCCUCCGCCUACAAUGGCUCUUUCCUGUUUGGAUGGGAGUACUUGAGGGAGGAGAGAAUGGCCAAGCUCAGCCACUGUGCAAAGACAGAGGUUUGCUGCAUCUUCCUAGGAAACCAGGCUAAAAUGAUAAAAAAAGCUCAUUCAGGACACACAUUAAUUAAGUAUAAUGGUGACAUACUUGAAAGAGCAGGAAAUGAUAACAUUAUGAUUCCCACAGAAACAGCAACCUCUGCUCCAUGUCCAACAUAGUCCUCGAUUAAAUCUGUUAAAUCUGCAGUCUACCACACUUCUAUUCAUGUUGUUAAACACCAUAAUAUGUAAUAGGUGCACAAUAGUGGAAAAGCAUUUGAAUUUCUAUUGUUUACAGUCAGAAAAAAAUUAAAUAAAUGCUAAGAAUAUGCAGAGCCUGUCA
ensembl:lncRNA